GGCAAUAAUCUUGAAGACUUUCUCGAUAGUGCUCACAAUAAUUUCGAUGAACUUUGGCGGUUAUCCUAUCAAUUUCCCCAAAGUCGUAUGGCUGAUCUAAUGGAUAUAAUUGGCAAUCAAGUAAUUGAAUUUUGUUUAGAGCCCUUGAUAAACGAGGAUAUUUGGAGUUUAAAUAACUCCGUGGUAAACAGCCUUAUGAGUCAGUGUAUAGAUACCGCAGAUUCUUGGAUACAAUUAUGCGAUUCUUUGACACGACUCUUUUGGCCUAAUUAUGUCAAACAUCCCUGGGUAGGGGAAGCACAUAUACCAAAACGUGCCCAAAUGUUCAAGGAGCGCAUGUUGGAAAUUCGCAAUAUUAAAAAUCUUUACAAACAAAUUGCUACUCUUUUAAAUGAUGAGGAAAUGCGUGAAAUGAUUACAAAUCAAUCGCCAUUUAGGAAUCUAAAUAUUUUCGAUACCACUACCAUGGGUCAGGCGAAGUGGAAUAAGGCUUUGCAAAAUUUUGAACAUUUAUUACAGCCAACAGAUGAGCGGAUUGCUGCUGCCUUGAAGGCACAACUUCAUCAACAUUUGAGUAAUCCACGUCAAGUGAUUUUUAUUUUCUCAAAAUAUGAAACAUUAAUACAACGUCCCACGGUCUUGGAGUUAUUAACUAUUGAGCGCGAGCAGUUUAUGCAGUCGUUGCACAUUCUUUUGCAAGAUUUACGUAAAGCUAUGACUGAUACAAAUAUGGAACCAGAUACCGGACACUUAUCGGUAAUAUGCAAUGAAUGCCGUUGGUUGAAAGUGGUACAAUAUCAAAUCCAAGAAAUCGAAAAAGUUAGUCAUCUUAUAUCUGGAAGAGAAGGAUUCGAUAAGAUCAAUAAAGCGGUGCAGGAAAUAAAAGAGGAAACGGAAUCAUUAUUGAGAACUAAUUUUGAAAUUUGGUGUGGUCAGCAUGCGACAGCCGUAAAGUCAGGAGAUCUAAAACUUCGCGAUGAUCAACCCGUGGUGAAAUUCGAAAAAGAGGGUCGUCAACUGAUGCGCGUUACAUUUAACCCAAAAUUGGUAACAUUUUGUCAAGAUGUUAGAGAAUUUGAAAAUAUGGGCUAUAAUGUACCCUCCGAAUUGCGUUCGGCUGCAACACAUGCCGCUAAGUAUAUGUGUUACGCCCGUCGAUUGCAGCAAAUUGCUACUUUUCACAAUACCAUUGGUGAUCGCAUGAUACCCUGUCAAAGACCUAUUAUGUUGAAAAAUGCUAUGGAACUUUCGAAAUUAGUGCACAGCGAAACGGUGGCUUGGAAUGACGAAGACUCCGUGGAACGUUAUGUUAAUACCUUACAAGCAGCUGUGAGUAAACUUUCAGCUGAUAAUACACUUUUAGUGGGUUAUCAUGAACAGGCAAAGAGAACGGUUAUUAAACUUAUGAACACCGAUCUCUUUACCCAAAGUCAAACCUGGAAAGAUGAAAUGCGUCAUUUAAGAGAACUGGUAGCAAAUUUAGAACGUCAGGGUUUUACUAAUCUUGACGCUUUUAAGUUGCACUGGGAUCAUCAGUUAUAUAAAGUAUUGGAAUAUCAGUAUAUUAUUGGUUUAGUGGAUAUGAAUAAUAAACUGCCCGAUAUUCAUAUAAAAAUAACUUUUCGUCAACGCCAGCUAAUUUUUAUACCCUCAGAAGAAGAAAUUCGCGAUAAGUAUUUUUCACAAUUGCGCCGUUUUAUAGAACGUCCUUGUGGCUUUCGUGGUUUAUCCGAUAAAGGUUCUGAUCUGUUUAAAACUAUGGUCGAAAUAAAUCGUCAUUAUUUGGGUCCUUUAUAUGAACAAGCUGAGGAAUUAUUUUCGAAAUUAGAUAAGUUUAAAAAACUCUGGCUGCCCUGGGUGGCUUUAGGCUGUGUCGAUGUGGAAGAACUUUGUGGUGUACAUUUACAAACCUCGGACGAUUGGGAUCGUAAUUUUCGAAAGUGUAAACAUUUUAGCCAGAAAAUUGCCAAAAUACAAAACAAUGAGGAAUCUAUUGACUGCAUUGUAAUCGAUAUAUUACCCUUACGGUCAGACAUUGAAAAUAUCAGUCGUCGUUAUUGGGAGGCUUUAUCCAACAGCCUUAGAGCAUCCAUACUAAACGAUAUUACAAUCAUACAAGAGUUUCUACAAAAUGCUCUACAAUUCUUGCAAAAUGUACCCAUGGAUGAAUCCUCCAUAACAAAGUCGGGUAUGAAAUAUGAAAAAAUUAUGACCGAAUUACCAAAAGUCACGGAAACUCUUAAUUUGGUCAAAGCUAAAGAUACCUGUUUAGCUGGUUGGUGUAAAGAGCGUGUUACCUCAUUAGCCUCCAUACUAAUACAAUGGGAAAAGUUGCAACCUUUAUUGGAAAAUCAUGCUGUUAUACUGCAACGUCAAGUCGACAUGAUCAAAGAUCAGGCUCAGACACAAAUACAAAAUUUACACAAUGAGGCAGAGAAAUUUGUCAUACGUUGGGAAUCAACCAUAGCCGAGUUGGAGGCUAAUGAAGAUGCCUCGCUGGAUAUGUUCAAAGAGCGUCAAGAACACUGGCAGGAGAUUUUAUGCAAGAAAGAGCAACUUUUAGAAGAAUGUGCCAAGUUCAAUAUGAUCUUUCCCGAUGAUUUGCUUAAGCCAUUCGACGAAAUUGAUGCCAAAAUGAAGGCUCAAUCACAAGAGUGGCUUAUAUACGAUGACUAUCUAAAAGAUUUGGAUGCUAUACUAAAAGAAGAAUGGGCCAUUUACCGCAGGCGUCCUUAUAUUUUAAAUGAGCUCAUAACACAAUGGGAAAGUUCAGUUAACUCUUCUAUAGAUCUCUCAUCAAAAAGAAUAAGACAAAGUGUUGAAAAGUUGCAAACCAUUUUACCAAUUCUGCAGCAGUUGCAAUCAGACUCUUUAACUGAACGUCAUUGGGCUAGAAUUUUUGUUUUACUCAAAAAAGAAGAUAUGAAAAAAUUACACAAUUUUACCUUAAAAGAUAUUUUACAAGAUCAGGCUUUAUUGCAACAACAUGCUGGAGAAAUAUCACAAAUUGUAAGGCAAGCCUCUUCAGAGCAAGUGGUGCGUCAAGCUUUAACUGAACUAGAUCAAUGGUCGGUUACAGCCAAAUUGAAGCUGAUAUCACAGAAAGAUUCGUCGGGUAAUUCUAUAACAUUAAUUAAGGAUUAUCAGGAAGUCCUAAAUAAAAUUGGUGAUAAUCAAUCAUUACUUCAGUCGGCUAAAAAUUCAUCAGCUUUUGAGGCCUUUUCGGAUCAGGCCGAACUAUGGGAAAGUAGACUUAACUCUUUGGAUGCUAUUUUAACAAGUUUGAAUCAAUCACAAAGGAGAUGGGUUUAUUUGGAACCGGUUUUUGAGGCUGGCACUCUAAAAAAUGAAGAGGCCUUAUUCAAACGCAUAGAUAAAGACUUUCGCUAUAUUAUGAGGGAAAUAGAAAUGGAUCCUAGAGUUAUAUCUUUGGUAAAAAUUAACAAUAUAACUACUCUAGUCAAGUCUCUGGAAACUCAACUGACCAGAUGUCAAAACAAUUUAAUGUCCUACAUAAUGGAAAAACGCAACUCUUUUCCCCGUUUUUACUUCCUGGGCGAUGAUGAUCUUUUGGAAAUCCUAGGACAAGCCUCUAAAGAUCCCGAAGUUAUACAAAAACAUAUUAAGAAGCUUUUUCCUGGUUGUCAUGCUUUAGGUAUUAAACAUGGAACCAAUGGGGAACGACCAGUAUAUACCAUACAAUCAGUGAAAAGUUCUGAAGGAGAUGUUCUUAAUCUAAAAACAGCCAUUGAAAUGUCUGGACCCAUAGAAACUUGGUUAAAUGCACUGGUCAACAAUAUUCAACAAACCCUGAAAGAGCAAAUUGUUCAAUGUUGUAACUCCUAUCCAACAGAUGGUUACAAUGAAAAUAUUUUACAAAAUUAUGCCAUACAAGUGUUAUCGACUACACGAGCCAUACAGUUUACCAAACAGGCUGAAAAAGCCAUACAAACGAUGUCACUGCAGAAACUCCAACAACAACUCAAUACGGAAAUAACCAAAUAUUCGACAUGGAAACAUCAAACUCAUGACAUGUUGUUACAAAUGAAAUUGCGUUCUUUGCUCUUUGAACUGGUACACUAUGUAACAGUCGUGGAGGAACUAAUACAAAACAAUACAAUGCAUCUAAAUGAUUGGCAUUGGUUGGCACAACUAAAGUUUUAUUUAGGCAACGACGGAGGUGGAACAGGGAGUGCAAGUGGCAGAGAUGCACGCACGGUUAUCAUACGUAUGGUGUAUGCUGAAUUUGAAUAUUCGUAUGAAUUUUUAGGUAAUCCUAAUAAGCUGGUCAGUACACGUUUAACACACAAAUGUUAUCUUAUAUUAACACAAGCCAUGCACAUGGGCUUGGGUGGUAAUCCUUUCGGCCCAGCUGGUACUGGAAAAACAGAAUGUGUUAAAGCAUUGGGCGCUAUGUUGGGUCGUCUCGUAUUGGUAUUUAAUUGUGAUGAGAAUGUUGAUACUGAAUCGAUGGGUUUGAUUUUGACUGGUCUGGCUCGUUGUGGCGCCUGGGGUUGUUUUGAUGAAUUCAAUCGUUUGCAAGAAGCAACACUUUCGGCCAUAUCAAUGCUCAUACAACCCAUACAAUGUGCUCUAAAGGAUAAAUCGGAUACGGUUCAAAUUGCUGAAAAUAAUAUUAAACUCAAUCAUCAUUGUGGCAUAUUUGUAACGCUUAAUCCGGCUGGCGCUGACUAUGGUGGCAGACAGAAAUUACCUGGCAACAUACAAGCAUUAUUUCGUCCAAUUGUUAUGCAACAGCCGGAACCACGAGAAAUUGCACGUGUCAUGUUGUUUGUGGAAGGAUUUAAGCAGGCAACCGAAAUAGCCGAACGUGUGGUCGAACUGUUCGAUAUGUGUGGCAAAAUAUUAACACACCAGCGUCACUACGAUUGGGGAUUAAGAGAAUUGAAAACCAUUUUACUUGCUUGCGGUGAAGGUUUACGUGAAAAUCUAAAGAUUACACGCACUUCAGCUCAGAGCACAAAUAAUGUCGAUGCAACAAUAACAACCACACCAACAGCAGCCACGAUUGCAACUAAUAAAAAUAAUAAUAGUAAUCGUGCAACAAAUAAUCAUGACAAUAUUGUGGUCGUGCACAAUGACGACAAUUAUAAUAACAGUGAAAUGUCGGUGGUGGUACAGUGUCUACGUGCCUCCACUAUGUCCAAAUUGGCACUACAUGAUGUGGCACGUUUUGAUAUGCUAUUGCAGAAUGUAUUUCCAGAAAUUAAAAUCAAUGACAAAUUUAAAUCAACCUUGCAACAGUCGAUUACGGAGGCAUUUAGUUUAUUGGGUCUUUGUGCUAAUGAAAUGCAAAUGAUUAAAUGUUUGCAACUCUAUGAACAAUUGCAAAAGCGCAUGGGUGUUGUUGUAAUGGGACCACCCGGUUGCGGUAAAUCAACCAUAAUAUCAGUAUUGCGUCAAGCUUUAAUUACACAAACAUCAGUGUCAUCAACAUCAACUGCAUCAUCACAAUUAACUAUUUCCGCUAGGCCAACUGCGACCACCACUUCAAUGCAGCAGCAACAACAAAUACGUAUUCACACUAUUAGUCCUAAAUCCAUGAGUCGCAUUCAACUGUUAGGUCGUCUUGAUCCUGAUACACGUCAAUGGCUUGAUGGCGUUUUAACACAUACAGCUGCCGUUGUAAAUGCCGAACCACUGCACAUUCAAUCAUGGAUUGUUUGUGAUGGCAGCAUUGAUCCAGAAUGGAUUGAGGCACUCAAUUCAGUGUUGGAUGAUAAUAAAUUACUAACAUUACCAUCUGGUUGGCGCAUACAAUUCGGUAAUAAUGUGAAUUUUAUAUUUGAAACUGAUGAUGUACGUAAUGCCUCGCCAGCAACAAUAUCUCGUAUGGGCAUAGUAAAUAUGAACAAUGAAGACUAUCCCUUAAAACGUAUACUCGAAUAUCAAUUGAGUAAAUUUGAAUUUGGUGAUUUAAUACAAAGUUUUAUAGAGGAAAUCUAUGAACCUGCUAUGGAAUGGUUAGAAAAGGAAUAUUUACAUACGUUUCCUGGUUUGACACGUUCCCGCAUGUUACGUGCUUUACUAUUAAAACUUCAGGCAGGACAUGAUAAUAAUUUCAAUAUACAAAAUCGUGAAGAAUUUACAGUGGCUGCUUGUCAUGCCGCUUUUGAAUUUUUACCAGUAGAACGUCAAAAUGAAUUCUCAAAUUGGUUAUAUAACAAGGCUGGCCUUUACGUUGCCAAUCCAAAUCAUUCAGAGUUAUUGUUUUAUAAUAAAAGUAGAAAGUCCUUGGAUGUUUAUGAAAGUGAUAUAAGUGGUGGCGGCGAAUUAAUUGAAACAGCUUCUAUUAAAAUGUAUUUGCAACAAUUGAAAAGUUUUCUAGAGGCUCCCUCCAGCACACCAUUCUUAGUUGUAGGUCCGGCUGGUGCAGCCAAAACUUUGCUUAUACAACACGCAGUUCAGGAUAUGUCAGGUUAUGAAUUGCUGACCAUUAAUUGUUCAACACAAUUGACGCCGGCUUAUAUUAUACAUUGUUUGAGACAGAAUUGUAUGACUGUAAGUGGAGUGCGUGGACGGGAAUUUAAAGCGAAACAGACACGUUUGGUAAUGUAUUUGAAAAAUUUGGAUCUGUGUUAUUUGGAUGCUUGGGGUUGCAGUGAAAUUGUUGAAUUAUUAUUGCAACUUGUGCAACGACAAGGCUUUUAUAACGAUAACAGCUCAAAUUCUGGCCUAAAUGCGGUUAAGAAUAGUACGAGUGGUGGCGAUAGCAACAAAGGCAAAGGCAAUAAUACUACCAACAACAGUAGCAAAUUGGAAUGGAUAAAUGUAAGUGGUUUACAAAUAUGUGGUUCCAUUUCACAGUCUACAACGCAAACGACAACAGCUGCGACAGCUAAUGCAAGUUUGGUGAAAAUUGCACCGCGUUAUUUGGCUAUAAAUCACUUGCUGCACGUCGGUUAUCCCACCCAACAAGAUAUGUUAGCUGUUAUACAACGACAUCUGGAACAUUUACUUUUAGGCAACCCAUACCAUCUUCAAGCUGGCGGCAGCAGCAGCAAUGACUCUGCCCGUUUUAAGGGUAUGAGUUUACAAAAUGUACAAUCUAUAUCUGAAGGUUUAAUGGAAUUCUAUACAAAGUUUCAAGCUGCCUUUACUAUGACUCGUAAACGUGGUGGCAGUGCUGGUAGCAAUAGCACAGAUGCUGCUGCCAUUGCUGCUACUGGUUGCAAUGCUCACUAUCACUUUUCACCGAAAUUUAUAAUGAAAACAUUGGCAAAUCUCAAAUAUUAUCCAGAAAAUUCAUUCAAUGAGGCUUUAUACUGUGAAUUAGUAUCCAUGUUUAAGGAUCGUUUAGCUUGCGAGGAUGAUGCUGAGAAAUUUGAAACAAUAUUAAGACAUUCAAUGCGUAAAAUUGGUAGUAAAGAUAAAAUAUAUUUUGUACCAAAGACAACAAAACACAAUAGUGAAUUGCAGACCUUACAACAUGAUGAAUGGCUGGAGGAAGUUCAAAAACAAAUUACUAUUUGUAACUCGGAAAGUUUUAUCAUUGAUGCACCGGUUACAAAAGAAUUACUGGAACAAACAUCGAAACUUGCACGUUUAUUGACACGCAAUAAUACACACAUACUCAUGGUGGGGACGGCAGGUGAAAGACAAAUGGAUUGUAUUUAUGCAGCAGCCACAAUGCAACAGGCUAAAAUCCAAUUGCUACAGGGUGGUUGUAAUUAUGGUCUAAUGGAUUUUUACAAUGAUUUAAAAUUGGCCAUGCAAGUAGCUGCUUUAGAAAAUCAAUGCUCCUGUUUGAUAAUAGAACAUUGUUGGCUCUCCUAUGUGCCGGACAUAAUGAAACCAAUCGAAGCUAUUUUGGAGGAAAGUGAAAUAUUGGAUUUAUUUGGUGAUGAUUUAGAGUCUAUUGCUAGUUCACUUAAGCAUUCAGCUCAAUUGGAGGGCUAUCAGGAUACAAUAGGCUCAUAUUUUAUGAAAAGAGCCAAAGAAAAUCUUCAUUUAAUUAUUUGUUUGGAUCCUAUGAAUUCUAAAAUUGAGGAAUAUUUUACUAAAUAUCCUGCCUUAUAUAGGAAUAUGGAUAUAUUAUAUCUAAGAGGCACUUCAAUAGAGACCUUAAAUAUGUUGCCCAAGAAAUUUGUGGAAGUGUUAAGCGAAUUUCCUGGUCAAUCAGCACCGAAAGAAAAAGUUCCUGUUUCUAGUUAUUUUUCGGAGAUAUUAGAUACUUUAUUACAACAACAGGUAUCUUUAAGAUUUUAUCAGUUGAUAAAAUCGUACUAUUACAUCUAUUGUAAUUUAUCGAAGGAUAUUAAUAAAAGAUUGGAAAAGUUACAGCACGGUGUCGACAAACUUGCUUCUGCUCAUGCCGUGGUUGAUACCCUGAAAUCAAAUGCCUCCAAACAGGAAGUGGCUUUAGCCGAAAAGCGAAAAUUGGCUAAUGAAGCUUUGGAAAUGAUUUCUUCGACUAUGAGAAAUGCCAAUGAACAAAAAUCUAGCAUGUUGGAGUUAAAAAAGAAAACACAAGAAAGCAGUGAAAAACUAAAAGAGAGACAACAAGAAAUCCAAGAGGAAUUAGCUGAAGUAGAACCAAUAUUGGCAGAAGCAUCAGCCGCUGUAGGUCAAAUAAAAUCAGAGGCAUUGUCUGAAAUAAGAUCUCUAAGAGCGCCUCCCGAGACUAUAAGGGACAUACUUGAGGGUGUCUUACGUUUAAUGGGUAUACGGGAUACGUCAUGGAAUAGUAUGAAAACAUUUUUGGCUAAAAGAGGUGUUAAAGAAGACAUUAGAUCACUUGAUCCAGCACGUAUAAGUCCCGAAAAUUGCGAGGCUGUUGUUAAACUCUUAGCUAAUAAAGCCGAUUCUUUUGAAAUGAAAAAUGCUAAAAGAGCUUCGGUGGCAGCGGCACCUUUAGCAGCAUGGGUAAAGGCUAGUGUUAGAUAUUCAAAAGUUAUACAAAGUAUUAAGCCUUUGGAGAGAGAACAAAAGGAAUUACAAAAGAACUUAGAUGUGGCCGAAGAUGAAAUGCAAUCUUUGAUGACGGGUCUAGAUGAUGUAGACAAUCGGGUGAAGCAAUUGUCGGCUAAAUUAAAUGCAUAUACCCAGGAAGCAGCAGUAUUGGAAUUAAAAUUAGAAGAAGCUCGCAGUACCUUAACGGCUGCUGAAGUUUUGGUAGAGCAAUUAAGUUCAGAGUAUCAGACAUGGAGCAUGCAACUGGAGGAAUAUAAAGUUACUUUUAAAACUUUAGAUACCAAGUCCUUGUUAAUAGCAUUGGCCCUUAAUUACUACUCGCAUAUGUCACUAAAGGAAAGAAGCUUUUGUCUCAAUAAACUUACUACUGAACUGCAACUAAAAGAAUCAUUUGAUUUACACAAAAAUUUACUAACCGAACAAGAGCAAAUUAUUUGGGAAAGCAUGGGUUUGGCUAGAGAUGCUCAGAUUAUAGAGAAUGCUGCAGUUUUAAGACAAAUGCUUAACUUACCAUUUGGCUCUUAUCCUAUACCUCUACUACUAGAUCCCACAGAGACUGCCAUUAAUUGGCUUAAAGAAUACUUACACUCAAAGGAAAGACCAUUUGAAGUUUUAUCUCAGAAUAAUCAAAAAUUAGCGUACGCACUGGAACUGGCGGUAAGAUUUGGUAAAAUAUUUAUAGUAGAAGACUGUCAGGAAUUAAGACCACCACUAAUGCAAUUGAUUACAAAUAAAGUUUAUAUGAAAUUCAAUAAAAAACAAAUAGAAGUGGGAUCGAAGAUGGUGGAUUUGCAUGACAAUUUCCAGCUGGUUUUGGUCACUAAGACCCCCAAAUUAACCAUAGAAUCGGAAAUAUUUGCCUAUAUCACUUGUAUACCUUUUACUGUAACUGCGGUGGGCUUAAGUGAUCAACUAAUGUCUAAAGCUAUAAUAAUGAAAAAUCCAGUUUUGGAACAAAAACGUGUGAAUUUAUUGAAAAAUGAAGGGGUACUACUAAAACAACGCCUAGAAUUAGAAGAUAAACUAUUGGAAGAGCUAUCCUUAGCUCAAGGUGACAUAUUGAAAAAUGAAAAGCUUUUAAAAACUUUAAAUGAAGUCAAAGAAAGCAGUAGUUUUAUAGACAAAUCCUUAAAGGAAAGUUCUGAAAUAAAAGACACUUUAUUGGCAGACUUUACUGCGUUAAGAGAAUUAUGCUCCAAAGCUUCGUGGUUUUAUGUAAAUCUAACCUCCUGUUAUGAAUUAUCUUCUAUGGUAUUUAUAAAACUAUUUCUAAAUGCUUUGGAAUUACAUGAUAUUGGUGGUGUCAACCCGUCUAUACAAAUAGAAUUAAAAUUUUAUGGUCAAUUAGUUCGGGAGACAUUUCAGUAUUUGGCUAGAUCUAUACCCAAGGAUAGACAUUUAUCACUGGCAUUAUAUGUAUGUCGUACGGCAUAUAAGGAACGCAUAAAUGAUGCUGAAUGGGAAUUAUUUGUUACGAAUUUCAUGUCGGGAUCUGAAGGCAGUUCUUUAAGUAGUAGUGCUGGUUAUGGUCGAUCACAAUUUGUGGAGAGUUUUGGCAAAGAGGCAGCUUUAAAAUUGCAACUUUUAAUUAACCAAAAACCUGAAAUGGAGGAAAAAUUACAAGUGCAUAAUUUUUCACUAUGGAGUGGUUUUAAAGAAGGAAAGUCAACAGAAAUACCAGUAACAACCAUUAAUAGCUUUGAAAAACUUUUAAUAACACUAAUCAUAAGACCAGAACUAGUAACCCAUUAUAUGAGACAAACUGCAGAAGAAAUGUUGGGCAUAUCCAUUGAAACAAUACAACAACCCAGCAUUGAGCAAUUGGUGGAAGAAAGUUCUGCCGAAAAACCCAUACUUAUGAUUACACAAACCGAAAAUGAUCCAGCAACGGAAAUAUUAAGUGUGGCAGUGCGCACUAAAGGCAAAGAUAAAUAUCAAGAAAUUUCUAUAGGCAAAGGUCUAGAGAAAAAAGCCAUGGAUGUUAUUAAAGUUUCAGCUGAAAUGGGUAAAUGGAUAUGUGUUAAAAAUGUCCACCUAGUACCAACCUGGUUACUAGAACUGGAAAGAGAAUUUAGUGAAAUGAAAAAGCAUGCGGAAUUUCGUUUAUGGUUGAUUUGUGAAUCCACUAAAGGUUUUAGUGAAGCUGUAAUGUAUAAGUUUGUUAAAGUUCUAUAUGAAUAUCCAGCUGGUAUUAAACAGAAGGCCAAAAGAAUGUUACAAAAUUACGUUGUAAUGGAGCAAGAUAGAAGCAUACUCAAAGAAGCUAAACUAAUGAAGAUAAGAGUAGUGAUAUUUAUAGCCUUAUCUGUUUUACAAGAACGUCGACGUUUUAUACCGCAAGGUUGGUCACAAAAAUAUGAGUUUGGUGAGUCAGAUCUUAAGGCCGCCUUACAAUUACUUAAGUGGUUGGAUGCUCUUAUGCUAGGUGGACGCAUUGAUUGGCAAAUAAUGCAAAAAUUGAAUGAAAAUGUGGCUUUUGGUGGUCGCAUUAAUAAUUUAAGAGAUCUGUUGGUUUUACAGAAAUAUUUGCAAGAAUUUUUUAACAAUGAAUCUUUGAGUUCUAGAUGGACUCCUUUUGAGGGUAGAGUUACUAUACCCACUAGUACACAAUGGUCAGAUUAUUUAAAUGCCUUAUCAAAGUUACCAUCUCAAGAUGAACCAGAGCUAUUUAAACUGUCCACUAAAUCAAAUGUUUAAGUGGAGAUAACGAAAAGAACCAGCAGAAUUUGGAAAAACAAAUUAAACCUAUAUUGGCUUUAUGGAGGAAAUUGGCACAGAACUGUUCCAUAAAUAUUACUGCUCAAGA
rnacentral:misc_RNA from 1 species